AUGCGAGUGCGACACGCUCGUGCGUCCUCUUGAGCUGCCUCUGACGGCCUCGACAUCAGUGCAAGCGCGGCCACCCCUUUGGGUUGCUGGUGACGGUGCGCUCCUUGUGCGCCAACGCGUCACAGCCACCUGCGCGCUGUGGCGUCUUCACUGUGCGCCCUUCGCUUGCUCCCCUGUUUCUGUAUCCUUCAUGCACCAACUCCGCACCUUCAACUAUGUGGCGUCUGAGCUGGGCCACGACGAGCCGGUGCUGCACGCCGUCUUUGCAACCCACCGCUGCCUACCUCCAGACCCACCAGAGGCAAACUUCGCGACGGCUAUUCCUCAAACGGUCAACGCUGCUUCGCGCAGAGGGAGCAGUGAUGAUGCAAGUAUUGGAGCUGCUGUGCACAUGGAAGAAACAGUCGCGCUGAGUAUGGAGGGCACGCUUGCCGCACCGCUGGAGGUAGCUCUCACAGUGGAGCAGGAACUCGCCCAGCUCAGCGAGAAGCUCGACGCGUGGAAGGUGCAACGCCUCGCUGAUCUUCAGGCGCCUGGAGGUGAGCGUUCCCCUUCGCGAUUGGCGCAGAUGGAGGCGGCGAUGGAGCGGAGGCUGGCGCGGAGACGCAUCGAGGAACAGGACCGUGCUCAGAAGCGCGUGGAUGCCCUCCUCAGUUAUCUCGGCCCGCGCAUCGAUAAACAACUGCAGCUGGUGGCACGUGAGCACGAAGGUGAGGAAGCGCCGCCGAGCAGCAAUGCAAGGGUGGAAACGACAAACGACGUGAAGGAUUCCGCUUGCGCGGACAAGAGUGCAGCUUCGGCCGCCACACCGUCGCCGCCCUCUCCUCGUGCGCGCAUUCUCUGCGACCAGCAGCACUUUGCCAAGCGCCAGGAGAUCGCACUGGAGGAGCGGUGCGCAAGGCAGGCAGUGCUGCGCAACAUGUGGGACGCCCGGCGUCUGGUGCACCUAGUCGAGGAUGAAGUGUCGUUUCGCCAUAGCAUCGAGACAAGAGAAGUCUUGUGGCGGGACCGGGUCCACAGUGAGUUGCACGCUUCCGUGGAAAUGGACCGAGCCUAGCGUCUCUUUACGCCUGCUCCUCUCGUGUGGCAUUGUGGUGAUGCCCGACAGGGAUGGCGGCCUUACCUCAUCCCCCACGCACAUACACAAACACAUAUGCACACGCGCACAUACCACGAAAUCACCCUCGUUCCCUCGCCCUCGUCAUUUGCAAUACUCUGUGCGGCUAUGUACACUAGCAGGCCAUCUGGCCUCAGUCGAGGGAGGUGGUUUGAUUGCAGUCCACUUCGGCUCUCUUUCCCUCUUCUUCUCCUACUCCCUACACUUGUGCCACAACGAUCUACGCCGUCGUAUCGGUGCGUACAGGGGCUUCUGCCGCCAUCGCAUGCGUCGAUUUGGGUAUGUCUGCCAUGCGACGAUACGUAGCUCCCGCGAACCUACCACCCAUCACCGGCGGUUGACAAGGCGAAAGGGUAACGCAGCGGGGCAGAUCUGCACGGAUGGAGUCGCACAGGACACUGCCCCCUCCCCCAAAAAAAAACAGCUGCGAGGGGUCGCGGCAGCCUAAACCACACGCGCCUCUAUGGUAGUGUUCAUCGCCCACUAUGUCGAAUGGGGCCCUCCUCGGGCAUACCUGCGCCUGCUCAUGCGCACACGUCGCUCGAGGAGCUGCCUGAAGUCACAGCGCAUCGCCAACGAG
rnacentral:misc_RNA from 1 species